AAAUAAGAUUAGGUUGGUGCAAAAGUAAUUGCGGUUUUUGCCCUUACUUUUAAAUGGCAAUUACUUUUGCACCAACCUAAUAGGUACAUGU
rnacentral:miRNA from 1 species